rnacentral:rRNA from 1 species
GACGAACGCUGGCGGCGUGCUUAACUACAUGCAAGUCGAACGGGGUUAAGGAGCUUGCUUCUUAACUUAGUGGCGAACGGGUGAGUAACGCGUGAGGAACCUGCCUCUCAGUGGGGGACAACAGUUGGAAACGACUGCUAAUACCGCAUGACACCAUAGUACCGCAUGGUACAGUGGUCAAAGAUUUAUUGCUGAGAGAUGGCCUCGCGUCUGAUUAGCUAGUUGUGGGGUAACGGCCCACCAAGGCGACGAUCAGUAGCCGGACUGAGAGGUUGACCGGCCACAUUGGGACUGAGAUACGGCCCAGACUCCUACGGGAGGCAGCAGUGGGGAAUAUUGGGCAAUGGGCGAAAGCCUGACCCAGCAACGCCGCGUGAAGGAAGAAGGCCUUCGGGUUGUAAACUUCUUUUACCAGGGACGAAGAACGUGACGGUACCUGGAGAAAAAGCAACGGCUAACUACGUG